rnacentral:rRNA from 2 species
AAACGACUCUCGGCAACGGAUAUCUCGGCUCUCGCAUCGAUGAAGAACGUAGCAAACUGCGAUACUUGGUGUGAAUUGCAGAAUCCCGUGAACCAUCGAGUCUUUGAACGCAAGUUGCGCCCGAAGCCGUCAGGCCGAGGGCACGCCUGCCUGGGCGUCACGCAUCGCGUCG